rnacentral:misc_RNA from 1 species
GAUGAAGAACGUAGCAAAAUGCGAUACUUGAUGUGAAUUGCAGAAUCCCGUGAACCAUCGAGUUUUUGAACGCAAGUUGCGCCCGAAGCCUUUUGGCCGAGGGCACGUCUGCCUGGGCGUCACGCAUCGCGUCGCCCCCCACAAUUCUCCGUAAAGGGAACAUGUGUUUUGGGGGCGGAUAUUGGUCUCCCGUGCUCAUGGCGUGGUUGGCCGAAAUAGGAGUCCUUUCGAUGGACGCACGAACUAGUGGUGGUCGUAAAAACCCUCGUCUUUUGUUUCGUGCUGUUGCUCGCAAGGUAAACUCUUUAAAAACCCCAAUGUGUCGUCUCUUGACGACGCUUCGACCGCGACCCCAGGUCAGGCGGGACUACCCGCUGAGUUUAAGCAUAUCAUAGCGGAGGA